ACAAACAGUCACAGACUAAGCAGGAAGAAAAGAGCUGCUGGAUGUUCUUCAUUGUUGUCUGUUGUAUUAUGUUCCAUGUUGUCCACCACCGCUAAGAUGUCACGCUACCUAUCACGCUGAUGCUGCCAUCAGGAAAAGCUCACCCUACCUACCAAGUAAAGGUAUUGUUCUCAGUCAAAAUGCAAGUCUGUCCCAGGACUUUCCAAACCAAACCAUGAUGGAAACCAAACCAGGUCCUAAUGAAACAGAACCUCAUUACUAAGGAAGUGGAUAAGAUAGCGGCUGGUCCCCUGGUGGUGGUGUCCGUCAUUGGUCCCUCGACCGAAUCCGGAUGGUUGAUGGUAAUCACUGUGGUGUACAUUAGGACCCCUUUUUCUUCUCAGAUUUUCUCCAGCCUCACUAGGCCCCCAGCCCUGGCCCGGGCUUCAUGUUUUGUUUGGCAGGCAACUUUGCAGGCAGGUAGAGUAGUUUGUGCAAAUACAGUGUCACAAAUUAAUUUUUUUAUCGAUGGGUAUUUUUAAUAAUUGUGAAUAAAAUAUUUGCUUAUUAUGUUUCAGGUUUUGUGUGUGCUCAACAGUAGUGGAGAAACAUGUCUGAGAGAACCUGUUUGAUGCACUGAUCAUUUCUCUCCAAGCCUUAAGGACCUGUUUAGUAAGAAGAAAGGCAGUUGAGCUUUUACGUCAGGCAAAGGUGCUUUCACUUGUUUCUUUAUGUCUUGUUCUUCCAGAGCACUGAGCCAACAGUCAUCAGGUCCCUUUGUCUCCAGGGACUGCCGAUCAUCUUGGGAGAUGACCCCCUACCUUCUUCAAGACCUACAUCGACAAUCACUCAUCUGGAAGAAACAAAAAGAUAUAGGCUCCGCCACAGUGUCUUCACAGUGUCUUCAUCAGCUUUCUCCACAUGGUCA